AACAUUGUUGUAACACCGAUCUAUAAUGCUAUAUUCAAACAUCUAUUGUAUCCAUUCAAAGUUACCAGAAAUGUGGAGAAUCUCGAGAAGGCUACAAAGAAAUUGAUUGCUAAACGUGAUGAUGUUGAGAACAAGAUUAGUAACGAUGAGAGAAGCGGCAUGAGAAUAAAAAGUGAAGCAAGAAGAUGGUUGGAGGACGUCAAUACCACCAUAUCUGAAGAAGCGGAUAUUAAUCAGAAAUAUGAAAGCAGGGGAAUGACUUUCGGCGGAUGCUCCAUGAAUUGCUGGUCAAACUACAAAAUCAGCAAGCGUGCAUCGCAGAAGCUCCUUGAAGUGAAGGAGCAUUAUAUAGCUGAUAUGAGUGUCGUUGGAGAUCAACCAUCGCCAGAACCUGUUCAAAAGAUCCCUAUUCCCUGUGAUCAUGUAAUGGACAAUGAUAACAAUCUUCGUGAAGCUCUGGACUAUAUCAAGAACGAUCCAGUUGGGAUAAUUGGGAUAUGGGGUGUAGGUGGAGUUGGCAAGACCCAUCUCCUGAACAAGAUCAACAAUUCAUUUCUUGGGGACUCUUCCUUUCAUUCUAUCAUCUAUGUUAUUGCCUCUAAAGAGUGUUCUGUGCAGAAGAUCCAAGCUGAGAUUGUCAAGAAACUUAACCUACGGAAAGAUGACGAUGUAAAAUUCCAAGCCCACAUCAUUUCUGAAUUUCUCGACGGAAAAAAUUUUCUGUUAUUGUUGGAUGACCUCUGGGAGAGGAUUGAUCUUCUGGAAGUUGGCAUACCAACACUAGGAAUUGAAAACAACCUCAAGAGGAAGGUGGUCCUCACAACAAGAUCACAGGAUGUAUGUGGUCAAAUGGAGGUGAGGAAACAGAUAAAAGUUGCUUGUUUACGAGAUGAGGAAGCAUGGAAACUAUUUCUGGAGAAGGUCGAUGAAGAAACUCUCCCUUCCAGUUCUCUAAUUGAACUUGCAAAACAAGUAGUGAAGGAACUCAAGGGCUUGCCAUUGGCUCUUGUAACUGUCGGAAGGGCAAUGUACGCCAAAAGGGACCCGGAUGUGUUCAUAGCUACAGAUGAACUCGACCAAUGUUGGAUGGGCUUAGGUCUGGUGGACAAGGAUGAUAUACAAAGUUCCUACAGAGAAGCAUGUAACAGCUGGCAUACUUCUCGUGUAAUCACAAUGCAUGAUGUGGUUCGUGACAUGGCUCUAUGGAUCUGUUGCGGUUGCAGUGAAAAGAACGACAACUGGGUUGUCCAUGCACAAGUUGGCAAAAAUUUAUCAAGAAGAACAAUCCCAUGGAGCAAAGCUGAAUGCGUCUCCUUGAUGUGGAAUCGCAUUGAAGAAUUGCCUCCCAUGGAUUCAAAUUAUUUUCCCGCAAAACUCAGGACAUUAUGUCUUCAAGGCAAUCGUUUGGAUGGAAGGAUAGUUGAAACUCUUAAGAAUUUCACUGCACUCACAUAUCUGGAUUUAUGCUCGAAUUCCCUCACUAACAUACCAGCGGAGAUAUGUGCCUUGGCCAAUUUGGAGUAUCUCGAUUUGGGAUAUAAUUCAGGAAUAUGCGAAGUCCCCACCUGCUUUAGAGAACUCAGUAAGCUCAAAUUCUUGUAUCUGUCAUGCACUAACGUAUGGAGAAUUCCAGAGGAUGUCAUAUCUAGCCUUAAAGCACUGCAGGUCAUAGACUUGACGCCAAAACCCAAACCUUGGAAUCGGUACGGUAACAGAGAAAACCACGCGGAUCAUAUGCCUUCAGUAGUACUAAUCCAAGAGUUAACCAAACUAAGUAAGUUAAAAGCAGUUGGCAUUACUGUUGAAAGUGUUUCUAGUUAUGAAGCACUUAAGGAAUAUCCUAACCUACCUAUUAGGAGACUUGUUCUAAAUAUAGAGGAACGAGAGUCAGUGUUCUAUCUACUGACUGGUCCUUUGUCAGAUCACUUGGCUCAAAUGACCUUACAUAAGUUGGAAAUUUAUCGCAGCAGCAUGGAGGAAAUAAUAAUAGAGAGACACGAGAGUGGUGGCCAUUUGGAACAAAACUAUAGUUUUGAUGCUCUGAAUCAGCUGGACUUACAAUUUUUGGAAAACCUGAAAGUUAUUACGUGGAAAGGAAUACGUCCAGAAUUGCUUUUCCAUAGGCUCACCGUUCUGUAUACCAUUGACUGCGACCAGCUGGAAGAUAUCUCGUGGGCGCUGCAUUUACCUUUUCUGGAAGAACUAUGGGUGCAAGGUUGUGGCAAGAUGAGACAUGCCAUUCGGAACAUAUCAAAGCAAGAGAGCUCAAUGCAAUCGAUUGAUACAUUCCCGCGCCUCGUUUCUAUGCUAUUUGCAAAUAACGAUGGGUUGGUCAGCAUAUGUGAUUCAGAUGUGACAUUCCCAUCCCUAAAGAGCCUGAGGGUCACAAAUUGUGAAAAUCUUAAGAGGCUUCCUUUUCGGCAGCAGAGCUUGCCACCCAAGUUGCAGGUUAUAUACUCCGAUAGUGUUGAAUGGUGGGAUAAUCUUGAAUGGGAAGAAGAAGAACAAGUUGUUGUAAUUAGGGACUUGAGACGCGACCCCCGCGUCGCUCUCGCGCGGGCGGCUCGGGGGCGAAACCCUAGCCGCCCACGCCGCCACACCCUCAUCCCCCUCCUCCACCUCGCCGCCGCUGGAACUCGCCGGCGGCAAAGCCGGCGGCGUGCCGAGAAGGCGGCGGCGAGGCCCAAACGGCUCGGCGGAACCGGCCCCUGCGCGAGUAGGACGGAGAACGCCGACGAUGGCGCGGCCGGAGGUGGAGACGGCGGUUCGGCUUGGGGCGGCGGAUCCGGCGCCCCUAUGGCCGGAUCUGGCCUCCCCACCCACGGAUCCGGUCGGCGCGGUGAGCGGCGCGACGGAGGCGGAGCGGGCGGCGAGCGGCGCGUGCGUGCCCUGCCGGCGCGGCGCGCGGCGUGGGCGUGCCCUGCCGGCGCGGCGGGCGGCGAGACGGGCAGCGCGACGGACGCGGUGUGGGCGGCGGGCGGCGCGACGUGGGCCCUGGCCAGCGCGGCGGUGACGUGGGUUGGGGUUGCUGCGGCGACGGCGCCUGCUCCUGCUCUGCCUCGUGCCCCCGCCCGGCGUCGUUGUCGGAUGGCGUGUAGGAGGAAGGCGAGGCCAGCGGGCAGGGCGAGGCGGCGGCCGGUGGUGUGCGAGGUGGUGCUGGCCAGACACGCGGCCUUGGCCCAAUGGCCGGUGGCGUGA
rnacentral:lncRNA from 1 species